GACCGCGUAGCUCAGCUGGCACAGCAUUGGGCUAGUAUUCCAAAGGUCGUAGGUUCGAUUCCCACCGUGGCCA
rnacentral:tRNA from 1 species